AAACCGGUUUAACACAAACAUACAAUUACAAUAAUCAAUACCAGGGUACAUGUAUCAUGCUGGAAAAUUACGAAUGUGUCAGACGAAUUAUUUUGUUUUUCAUAGAAGAUAAACAAAAUCAUCGAGCUUUGCAGAACGAUGAAUCAGAAUGACUGAAUGACACUAAGUUUUGCAAAAUGGAUAUAUCCCUAACUUCCAUGGCCUUCGACAUAUUUGAGUGGGAUCCUGAAACAACCCCUGACACAACAACUUAAUUUACAAGAACAACCCUGCGUAUAAGAACUACAAUACUUCUGACAAAAACAAACAAAAGCAACUCCAGAUUUAUGAUCAACUCUGAUUACUAGAACAUGAACACCAACCCCAUCUUCAAGAACAACAACUUCAACCCCAGAACAUCAACACUUCCUGCAGGGACAACUACAAAAACAUCGGCUUCAAGAACAAAUUCAUCCUAAACACAAACAUCAGCAACAACAGCUACCCGAAUAAAACUACUCGAACUACAAGAACACCAUCACACACUCUUUAAGAACACCAGCAUCAUCAUCUUCUUCUAGACUUGCAAAUGCAACAAACACCAAUGACAAAGUUGAAUGGCUAACUUCAAUGGAGAGGAUAGAGUAAUGGCAAAAAGAGGAUCAUUUUAAAGAGCGGAGGAAGAGGGAUAUGUAAAGAGUGUUCUGAGGCCAGGAUAUCAGCAGUGCGUUCAGUCAGGCGAGCGUUUACAAAACGCUCGCAAACGUUUUGUUUUGUAUCUCUGUUGCAAAGCAGCGCAUAUACGUUAAGCGGGAAACCAAACAGCAAACGUUCGCCGCAAACAUCUUUA